CAUUCCAGCUGAAGAAAUCUGCAAAUAAAAGUUGGAUUCGGGCUCAGUAUCUUAGAGAGUGUGGCAAAUUUAUAAUUUUCCUAACCAUCAGAAGUGGUCGUCUUCCAGCUUUAUCAGUCAAGAUUACACUAAGAGCAGU